UACGUAGGGGGCAAGCGUUAUCCGGAUUUACUGGGUGUAAAGGGAGCGUAGACGGCAGAGCAAGUCUGAAGUGAAAGCCCGCGGCCCAACUGCGGGACUGCUUUGGAAACUGCCCGGCUAGAGUGCUGGAGAGGUAAGCGGAAUUCCAUGUGUAGCGGUGAAAUGCGUAGAUAUAUGGAGGAACACCGGUGGCGAAAGCGGCUCUCUGGCCUGUAACUGACACUGAGGCUCGAAAGCGUGGGGAGCAAACAGG
rnacentral:rRNA from 1 species